rnacentral:rRNA from 1 species
CCUACGGGUGGCUGCAGUGGGGAAUAUUGCACAAUGGGCGCAAGCCUGAUGCAGCCAUGCCGCGUGUGUGAAGAAGGCCUUCGGGUUGUAAAGCACUUUCAGCGGGGAGGAAGGCGUUAAGGUUAAUAACCUUGGCGAUUGACGUUACCCGCAGAAGAAGCACCGGCUAACUCCGUGCCAGCAGCCGCGGUAAUACGGAGGGUGCAAGCGUUAAUCGGAAUUACUGGGCGUAAAGCGCACGCAGGCGGCCUGUCAAGUCGGAUGUGAAAUCCCCGGGCUCAACCUGGGAACUGCGUUCGAAACUGGCAGGCUAGAGUCUUGUAGAGGGGGGUAGAAUUCCAGGUGUAGCGGUGAAAUGCGUAGAGAUCUGGAGGAAUACCGGUGGCGAAGGCGGCCCCCUGGACAAAGACUGACGCUCAGGUGCGAAAGCGUGGGGAGCAAACAGGAUUAGAUACCCGUGUAGUC